rnacentral:rRNA from 1 species
CAGGUGCUGCAUGGCUGUCGUCAGCUCGUGUUGUGAAAUGUUGGGUUAAGUCCCGCAACGAGCGCAACCCUUAUCCUUGUUUGCCAGCGAGUAAUGUCGGGAACUCCAGGGAGACUGCCGGUGAUAAACCGGAGGAAGGUGGGGACGACGUCAAGUCAUCAUGGCCCUUACGAGUAGGGCUACACACGUGCUACAAUGGCGCAUACAGAGGGCGGCCAACUUGCGAAAGUGAGCGAAUCCCAAAAAGUGCGUCGUAGUCCGGAUUGGAGUCUGCAACUCGACUCCAUGAAGUCGGAAUCGCUAGUAAUCGUGGAUCAGAAUGCCACGGUGAAUACGUUCCCGGGCCUUGUACACACCGCCCGUCACACCAUGGGAGUGGGCUGCAAAAGAAGUGGGUAGUUUAACCUUCGGGAGGACGCUCACCACUUUGUGGUUCAUGACUGGGGUGAAGUCGUAACAAGGUAGCGCUAGGGGAACCUGGCGC